GAAGGUGUGCUGUGAGGCAUGCUGGAGGUAUCAGAAGUGCGAAUGCUGACAUAAGUAACGAUAAAGCGGGUGAAAAGCCCGCUCGCCGGAAGACCAAGGGUUCCUGUCCAACGUUAAUCGGGGCAGGGUGAGUCGACCCCUAAGACGAGGCCGAAAGGCGUAGUCGAUGGGAAACAGGUUAAUAUUCCUGUACUUGGUGUUACUGCGAAGGGGGGACGGAGAAGGCUAUGUUGGCCGGGCGACGGUUGUCCCGGUUUAAGCGUGUAGGCUGGUUUUCCAGGCAAAUCCGGAAAAUCAAGGCUGAGGCGUGAUGACGAGGCACUACGGUGCUGAAGCAACAAAUGCCCUGCUUCCAGGAAAAGCCUCUAAGCAUCAGGUAACAUCAAAUCGUACCCCAAACCGACACAGGUGGUCAGGUAGAGAAUACCAAGGCGCUUGAGAGAACUCGGGUGAAGGAACUAGGCAAAAUGGUGCCGUAACUUCGGGAGAAGGCACGCUGAUAUGUAGGUGAAGUCCCUCGCGGAUGGAGCUGAAAUCAGUCGAAGAUACCAGCUGGCUGCAACUGUUUAUUAAAAACACAGCACUGUGCAAACACGAAAGUGGACGUAUACGGUGUGACGCCUGCCCGGUGCCGGAAGGUUAAUUGAUGGGGUUAGCGGUAACGCGAAGCUCUUGAUCGAAGCCCCGGUAAACGGCGGCCGUAACUAUAACGGUCCUAAGGUAGCGAAAUUCCUUGUCGGGUAAGUUCCGACCUGCACGAAUGGCGUAAUGAUGGCCAGGCUGUCUCCACCCGAGACUCAGUGAAAUUGAACUCGCUGUGAAGAUGCAGUGUACCCGCGGCAAGACGGAAAGACCCCGUGAACCUUUACUAUAGCUUGACACUGAACAUUGAGCCUUGAUGUGUAGGAUAGGUGGGAGGCUUUGAAGUGUGGACGCCAGUCUGCAUGGAGCCGACCUUGAAAUACCACCCUUUAAUGUUUGAUGUUCUAACGUUGACCCGUAAUCCGGGUUGCGGACAGUGUCUGGUGGGUAGUUUGACUGGGGCGGUCUCCUCCUAAAGAGUAACGGAGGAGCACGAAGGUUGGCUAAUCCUGGUCGGACAUCAGGAGGUUAGUGCAAUGGCAUAAGCCAGCUUGACUGCGAGCGUGACGGCGCGAGCAGGUGCGAAAGCAGGUCAUAGUGAUCCGGUGGUUCUGAAUGGAAGGGCCAUCGCUCAACGGAUAAAAGGUACUCCGGGGAUAACAGGCUGAUACCGCCCAAGAGUUCAUAUCGACGGCGGUGUUUGGCACCUCGAUGUCGGCUCAUCACAUCCUGGGGCUGAAGUAGGUCCCAAGGGUAUGGCUGUUCGCCAUUUAAAGUGGUACGCGAGCUGGGUUUAGAACGUCGUGAGACAGUUCGGUCCCUAUCUGCCGUGGGCGCUGGAGAACUGAGGGGGGCUGCUCCUAGUACGAGAGGACCGGAGUGGACGCAUCACUGGUGUUCGGGUUGUCAUGCCAAUGGCACUGCCCGGUAGCUAAAUGCGGAAGAGAUAAGUGCUGAAAGCAUCUAAGCACGAAACUUGCNAAGCUCUUGAUCGAAGCCCCGGUAAACGGCGGCCGUAACUAUAACGGUCCUAAGGUAGCGAAAUUCCUUGUCGGGUAAGUUCCGACCUGCACGAAUGGCGUAAUGAUGGCCAGGCUGUCUCCACCCGAGACUCAGUGAAAUUGAACUCGCUGUGAAGAUGCAGUGUACCCGCGGCAAGACGGAAAGACCCCGUGAACCUUUACUAUAGCUUGACACUGAACAUUGAGCCUUGAUGUGUAGGAUAGGUGGGAGGCUUUGAAGUGUGGACGCCAGUCUGCAUGGAGCCGACCUUGAAAUACCACCCUUUAAUGUUUGAUGUUCUAACGUUGACCCGUAAUCCGGGUUGCGGACAGUGUCUGGUGGGUAGUUUGACUGGGGCGGUCUCCUCCUAAAGAGUAACGGAGGAGCACGAAGGUUGGCUAAUCCUGGUCGGACAUCAGGAGGUUAGUGCAAUGGCAUAAGCCAGCUUGACUGCGAGCGUGACGGCGCGAGCAGGUGCGAAAGCAGGUCAUAGUGAUCCGGUGGUUCUGAAUGGAAGGGCCAUCGCUCAACGGAUAAAAGGUACUCCGGGGAUAACAGGCUGAUACCGCCCAAGAGUUCAUAUCGACGGCGGUGUUUGGCACCUCGAUGUCGGCUCAUCACAUCCUGGGGCUGAAGUAGGUCCCAAGGGUAUGGCUGUUCGCCAUUUAAAGUGGUACGCGAGCUGGGUUUAGAACGUCGUGAGACAGUUCGGUCCCUAUCUGCCGUGGGCGCUGGAGAACUGAGGGGGGCUGCUCCUAGUACGAGAGGACCGGAGUGGACGCAUCACUGGUGUUCGGGUUGUCAUGCCAAUGGCACUGCCCGGUAGCUAAAUGCGGAAGAGAUAAGUGCUGAAAGCAUCUAAGCACGAAACUUGCNNNNNNNNNNNNCCGAGAUGAGUUCUCCCUGACCCUUUAAGGGUCCUGAAGGAACGUUGAAGACGACGACGUUGAUAGGCCGGGUGUGUAAGCGCAGCGAUGCGUUGAGCUAACCGGUACUAAUGAACCGUGAGGCUUAACCUU
rnacentral:rRNA from 1 species